rnacentral:misc_RNA from 1 species
UUUAACGAUUUAUAUCUAUACUCAGACGGCACAGUUAUCAGAAUUUAAAUUGGCUACCGGCGGGCGCGGGCCAGGGGCGGAAAAGCCCCCGGCGGCCCCAAAGGGCGGGCCCGCCAAAGCAACAUGGUUAGUUAAACAAAGGGUUGGAGGUCGGGCCUGGAAGACCCUUACUCGGUAAUGAUCCUUCCGCAGGUUCACCUACGGAAA